GUGGGUGUAGCUCAGUUGGUUAGAGCGCCAGAUUGUGGCUCUGGAGGUCGUGGGUUCAAAUCCCAUCAUUCACCCCA
rnacentral:tRNA from 1 species